rnacentral:rRNA from 1 species
AUUGAACGCUGGCGGCAGGCCUAACACAUGCAAGUCGAACGGUAACAGGAAGCAGCUUGCUGCUUCGCUGACGAGUGGCGGACGGGUGAGUAAUGUCUGGGAAACUGCCUGAUGGAGGGGGAUAACUACUGGAAACGGUAGCUAAUACCGCAUAACGUCGCAAGACCAAAGAGGGGGACCUUCGGGCCUCUUGCCAUCGGAUGUGCCCAGAUGGGAUUAGCUAGUAGGUGGGGUAACGGCUCACCUAGGCGACGAUCCCUAGCUGGUCUGAGAGGAUGACCAGCCACACUGGAACUGAGACACGGUCCAGACUCCUACGGGAGGCAGCGGUGGGGAAUAUUGCACAAUGGGCGCAAGCCUGAUGCAGCCAGGCCGCGUGGAUGAAGAAGGCCUUCGGGUUGUAAAGUACUUUCAGCGGGGAGGAAGGCGAUAAGGUUAAUAACCUUGUCGAUUGACGUUACCCGCAGAAGAAGCACCGGCUAACUCCGUGCCAGCCGCCGCUGUAA